rnacentral:misc_RNA from 1 species
AAGUCGUAACAAGGUUUCCGUAGGUGAACCUGCGGAAGGAUCAUUAAAGUAUCUUAGUUGCCUGCGCUUUAACUAGCGCGGCGACCAAACCUUACACACAUUGCUUAGUUUUUUCUAACAUUGCUUUGGCUGGACUGCAAAGUCUGGCCAGAGGAUUUCAAAACACAAGAUUUUAUUAUCUUUUUCUACAAAACAUUAGUCAAGAAGUUUUAUUUAAACAAAUCUUCAAAACUUUCAACAACGGAUCUCUUGGUUCUC